GACGAACGCUGGCGGCGUGCUUAACACAUGCAAGUCGAACGGAAAGGCCCUGCUUUUGUGGGGUGCUCGAGUGGCGAACGGGUGAGUAACAAGUGAGUAACCUGCCCUUGACUUUGGGAUAACUUCAGGAAACUGGGGCUAAUACCGGAUAGGAGCUCCCGCUGCCUGGUGGGGGUUGGAAAGUUUCGGCGGCUGGGGAUGGACUCGCGGCUUAUCAGCUUGUUGGUGGGGUAGUGGCUUACCAAGGCUUUGACGGGUAGCCGGCCUGAGAGGGUGACCGGCCACAUUGGGACUGAGAUACGGCCCAGACUCCUACGGGAGGCAGCAGUGGGGAAUAGUGCACAAUGGGCGGAAGCCUGAUGCAGCAACGCCGCGUGCGGGAUGACGGCCAUCGGGUUGUAAACCGCUUUCGCCUGUGACGAAGCGUGAGUGACGGUAAUGGGUAAAGAAGCACCGGCUAACUACGUG
rnacentral:rRNA from 1 species